UACUGUUUGAAAAUGUAAUAUGAGAAUGUACGAAAUUAUCCCUCCUUCUACCCUUUCCUACUCAGACACGCUCUAAUGUUGUCUGUCUCUACCUCCUGCAUCUUAAUUCUCAAAUAUCCCUCCUAUGUGACUAUGUCCAUUCCCGACCGCCGUCAAUCACGAUGAUCACAAAUCAACAUCACCACCGAUCACCACGACGCUUGAUCCGGCGACCCCUUCCCCGUGUCUCUCCCUCAUUGAUUCACCGACACCACCACCAAAUGAUCCGCCAUCGUCACCGCCAUCAAAAUCGAUAGAGGGGAAAACCAAUCUAUCGCAACCACCGUCCAUUUCCAUCACUGUCCAUCUCCACCGCCGUCCAUCAUCACCGCCGCGCCAACAGCAUCGUUGUGAAUCACCACUGCCGCCCCAAUUCAAUGUCGUAAAGCUUUGUCUUUCUCUUACUAUCUUGUUCUAUUUUGCAGACAUGGGCAUACACUUGUGUAAAACACGGGAUGGCUGAUGGAAAAUGUUGUAUUGUUCAAUUCGGGUAAUAAUAAGUUGAAGCUUUUUGAGUUUUAUUUCAAUCUUUAUUGAAAUAUGAUUGAUUAGAGGGUACACUUUGGUUUGUAAAGAAGCUUUUGUAAAACACAGGAUGACGGAUGGAAAAUGAUGUUUUGUUUCCAUUGUAACAUGUUGUGUUGUUUCCAAUGAACUAAUGUGGUUGGUUUACAAUUUAAGGUCUUUGAGUUUGUGA